GUGCCAGCAGCCGCGGUAAUUCCAGCUCCAAUAGCGUAUAUUAAAGUUGUUGUGGUUAAAAAGCUCGUAGUUGAACCUUGGGCCUGGCUGGCCGGUCCGCCUCACCGCGUGCACUGGUCCGGCCGGGCCUUUCCCUCUGUGGAACCCCAUACCCUUCACUGGGCGUGGCGGGGAAACAGGACACUUACUUUGAAAAAAUUAGAGUGCUCCAGGCAGGCCUAUGCUCGAAUACAUUAGCAUGGAAUAAUAAAAUAGGACGCGCGGUUCUAUUUUGUUGGUUUAUAGGACCGCCGUAAUGAUUAAUAGGGACAGUCGGGGGCAUCAGUAUUCAACUGUCAGAGGUGAAAUUCUUGGAUCAGUUGAAGACUAACUACUGCGAAAGCAUUUGCCAAGGAUGUUUUCAUUAAUCAGGAACGAAAGUUAGGGGAUCGAAGACGAUCAGAUACCGUCGUAGUCUUAACCAUAAACUAUGCCGACUAGGGAUCGGACGGUGUUAUUCAUGACCCGUUCGGCACCUUACGAGAAAUCAAAGUGCUUGGGCUCCAGGGGGAGUAUGGUCGCAAGGCUGAAACUUAAAGAAAUUGACGGAAGGGCACCACCAGGGGUGGAGCCUGCGGCUUAAUUUGACUCAACACGGGGAAACUCACCAGGUCCAGACACAAUAAGGAUUGACAGAUUGAGAGCUCUUUCUUGAUUUUGUGGUGUGUGCAUGGCCGUUCUUAGUAGAUGGGGUGACUUGUCUGCUAAUUGCGAUAACGAACGAGACCUUAACCUGCUAAAUAGCCCGCAUUGCUCCGGCAGUGCGCUGGCAUU
rnacentral:rRNA from 1 species